AUUGAGUCCAUGGAGCGAGCUGAGAGCUAGAGUACAGAACCUGCUAAGGCCAUCAAACCUAUCGAUCGGAAGUCAGUCCAUCAGAUUUGCUCUGGGCCGGUGGUACUGAGUCUAAGCACUGCGGUGAAGGAGUUAGUAGAAAACAGUCUGGAUGCUGGUGCCACCAAUAUUGCGAUGUCACCAUUUCUACCUGCCACGCAUCGGCGAAGGUUGGGACUCGACUGGUGUUUGAUCACGAUGGGAAAAUCAUCCAGAAAACCCCCUACCCCCACCCCAGAGGGACCACAGUCAGCGUGAAGCAGUUAUUUUCUACACUACCUGUGCACCAUAAGGAAUUUCAAAGGAAUAUUAAGAAGACGUGCCUGUUUCCCCUUCGCCUUCUGCCGUGAUUGUCAGUUUCCUGAGGCCUCCCCAGCCAUGCUUCCUGUACAGCCUGCAGAACUACUGUCCCUGAAGUGUUGUCUACUGUUGUGGAGGCAAUCACUGUCAUUCCCAGGCACUGAGCCUCGAAACUGCAGAGUCAAAGGUGACCUCCUUUUCCCUGGCCGCUCACACCACCUCCAUCGAUUCUCCCUGGGCAGCACUUCUGCUGCCAGUGGCGUGACUUGGUCACGCAGGCCCUUCCUCUGGGCCACAGCCACUGUCUUCCAGCCAAUUGACCUUCUGAUUCCAGCUGUGGCUUCUCUCAACUUCCCACAGACGGCCUGAGACUGUGCCGACAGCAGAAUUGAUUCCUAUGAUCCUGAAUGUAAAGUCUGAGUAUCAAA
ensembl:lncRNA PMS2P4 PMS1 homolog 2, mismatch repair system component pseudogene 4